rnacentral:rRNA from 1 species
UACGGAGGGUGCAAGCGUUAUCCGGAUUCACUGGGUUUAAAGGGUGCGUAGGAGGGCAGGUAAGUCAGUGGUGAAAUCUCCAAGCUUAACUUGCAAACUGCCGUUGAUACUAUCUGUCUUGAAUAUUGUGGAGGUGAGCGGAAUAUGUCAUGUAGCGGUGAAAUGCUUAGAUAUGACAUAGAACACCAAUUGCGAAGGCAGCUCACUACACAAUCAUUGACUCUGAGGCACGAAAGCGUGGGGAUCAAACAGG